rnacentral:rRNA from 1 species
GAUGAACGCUGGCGGCGUGCCUAAUACAUGCAAGUCGAGCGAACAGACGAGGAGCUUGCUCCUCUGACGUUAGCGGCGGACGGGUGAGUAACACGUGGAUAACCUACCUAUAAGACUGGGAUAACUUCGGGAAACCGGAGCUAAUACCGGAUAAUAUAUUGAACCGCAUGGUUCAAUAGUGAAAGACGGUUUUGCUGUCACUUAUAGAUGGAUCCGCGCCGCAUUAGCUAGUUGGUAAGGUAACGGCUUACCAAGGCAACGAUGCGUAGCCGACCUGAGAGGUGGAUCGGCCACACUGGAACUGAGACACGGUCCAGACUCCUACGGGAGGCAGCAGUAGGGAAUCUUCCGCAGUGGGCGAAAGCUUGACGGAGCAACGCCGCGUGAGUGAUGAAGGUCUUCGGAUCGUAAAACUCUGUUAUUAGGGAAGAACAAAUGUGUAAGUAACUAUGCACGUCUUGACGGUACCUAAUCAGAAAGCCACGGCUAACUACGUG